GCCUCGGUGGUGGAAUCGGUAGACACGCAGGACUUAAAAUCCUGUUCCCAUUGCGGGAGUGCGGGUUCAAGUCCCGCCCGGGGUA
rnacentral:tRNA from 1 species